GGUGGCUCAGUUGUAGAGUGCUUGUCUUGCAUGCAUGAGACCCUGGGUUCAAUUCCUCAGCACCA
rnacentral:tRNA from 1 species